UAUACAGGCACCUAAACAGUCACCUACACGCAUACUGUAUAUUCAUAUUAACAUAUGCAAACAAGUAUGACCAUGUUAGUAACAUUCACAUACUCUGCUAUGAGUUUGCAUACAAUUGACACAUAUUCCUGUGCAUAAUAUGCUUCUUUUUCAAUGAAUAGCCAUAGUAUCCAUAGUAUUUUCAUUUCGUUCUUCCCUUUAAUGUCUUAUCUUCUGUUUCUUUCUGAGUUAAAAUCCAAAUGGACUGAGUUUUGAUAGCUAUACUAGGGAGGGGUCUAGGGAGUCAACCAUUACACUGUAGGGCUGUGUCAUAUUGAAGUAAUUUCUUUCAGUUCUUGGCCAUUAAGCAACAGAACCAAAAGAACAACUGAUUGAGACAACAAAAUGGCUCAUUUCCAGUGAAAAUCUGAAAUCCUCCGAGUGAGAAAAGACAAUUAAAUAAGGAUAAACACUUAUGCAAGCUAUCCAGUGUGCAAGUAAUGGUAAGUAUGGACUUGCUGAAUACAAAUGAAUACAAUGCUGCUUUUCUGAUUCACCUUUCUAAGCAAGAACUGCAUAGGCUCUUCCUCUCUCUCUUAGAAGUUAACCAUUAAGCCUUCAAGCUCAGACAUCAAAAUCUUCCUUAGUCUCUCAGAAAAACCCUUCUACAGGUGUGCAUGCUCACAUGUUAACAUAACCAUGUCUGUUGAGCUAAAUCUCAGGAGUAGGUCUAAAAGAACUACACUUCCCAGAGUGCACCAGCAGCAGCAAACUGGCUGCUUAUGACCAGAUCAGUCAUUGUCACUGAUUGAAAGCACCUGUAAAAACAUGGAGGUUAUCAUUCAUUUAAACAAAGAAACUUCAGAGAGAAGACACUCCAAGUUCACUCUAUGGUUCAAUCCCAAGACGCCAAUGUGAGCGCGCGAAGAGGACGUUAGCCAGCUUGCUCUGUCCAUAGGCCUUCAUGGUAUCGUAACUCCUCUCACUGUUGAUGUCAUCCAGUCGAAGCCCGGUCCAGGUGUGGGCCACUGAUGCCACGACGACAAUACGGGCAGGAGCUGAACGCUUGAUGAGGUCCAGCAGCAGAAUAUUUUCACCACGCACACCAUGCCAUGAAGACAAGGAGCCCCCUGAGAAAAAACACUUUGGUACAUCUAAUGGAGGGUUGCAAAGAGGAAAAGGACAAGGGAAUUGUCUUUUGGUAGGUGAUACUUUCAAAGCCAAAUGCAUACUCAUGUUGUCAUUUUGUCCACUCAAAUUUGAGGGUCAUACGCUCAUACCAAAAACACAAAGAACAAGCAACUCAUAAAACCCUAUAUAACUUACUUUUCAUCAGCGAGAGCCUUGUGAAAGUUGGAGCUGCUGUAGAGGGAAGAGAACUGUACCACUCUGAGACUUCACCACUGACAGUGCCAAACAGAUGCUAUCUAGACUCCUUAUACUGUUGUUGUGUUUCUUAUGUAUAAAAAUAGUACUGUCUUUGCAUUGCUGGUCUUUUGGCUUGUGUUGUGGUUUUGUUGUGCUGAAUGGAGCGCUCCUAUAAAGUGCCCUUUACACACAUCUUUUAAA